GACGUAGGAGGCGAGCGUUAUCCGGAUUCACUGGGCGUAAAGCGCAUGUAGGCGGAUGUCUAAGUCGUGUGUUAAAGCCUCUGGCUCAACUGGGGGAGGUCAUGCGAGACUGGAUGACUUGAGGGCAACAGAGGCACGUGGAACUCCCGGUGUAGCGGUGGAAUGCGUAGAGAUCGGGAAGAACACCCGUGGCGAAGGCGGCGUGCUGGGUUGCAACUGACGCUGAGAUGCGAAAGCGUGGGGAGCAAACAGG
rnacentral:rRNA from 1 species